GUAAUACUCCCUCCAUCCGGAAAUACUUGUCCUAGGAAUGGAUGAAUCUAUACUUAUUUUAAUUAUAGAUACAUCACAUAUAUCUAUUUUUAGGACAAGUAUUUUCGGACGGAAGGAAUACUUC
rfam:Hordeum vulgare subsp. vulgare, WGS project CAJW01000000 data, contig: morex_contig_1809088